AUAAGCAUAAUCAAAGACAAUUUUAGAAGAGUCUUCAAACACUCUUUGCCGUCCGUCAUAGACAUAAUGUUAAAAGUGACUCAACUUUGUACGUAUUUAUUACAUGUAAGACUCAACUCUUUUCCCCCUUCUCAAUUCAAUAUUUUCUUUGUUGCGCUACUAUUUUCUCUGUUCCGAUGCAAUAUAUAAAUGUUAGUUAGUGUUGGGUGUUAAUUUAUUUUCAUGUAUUUCUUUCUUACAGCUUUUUUCAUACUUUUCCCCUUUUGGUUACCCGAUUUUGUACAUGCAUAUUCUGAUUUACAGUCUUUUAAGUUGGUCUUGAGAUUACUGAAAAAUUAUGGAUUACAAAUAUUUUGUGGUCUCAGUUUGUGUAUCCUUCCAGUUUGUUAGUCAUGUUCCACAUAUGCCUCAAUAAAAGGAAGCAUAUCAUGAAGACAUGCCAAAAUCCAGUUUGGAUAUUUUGAGGUCAAAGGUAUUAUCUCCUAGCGGGACACUGAAAUUGUGCUUUAAUCGUUAUAUUUUUUCAUCUUUCACCUGCUAAAAGUUAAAUGUGUUUUUUUUUACCUAGGGUCAAGUUCUUGUCUAUUCCUUCUCCAGAAAAAUAACCAGUAUGAGCAUAUAUGUCUUCCAUGAACUCAAUUUGUUGCAGAAGAGGGGUGCAAACCUAUCUGGUGGUAAGUUCCUUGACGCUAAAGAGCUUUUACAAAUUAAUGAGUCAUGUCUUUAUAUAGAAGUGGCUAUUUUGGUUUUGUAAUUAAACAUAACAAAUAACU
rnacentral:lncRNA from 1 species